UAUUUUCCAAUACUUUUGUCGGUGAAAUUCUAAAUUGAAAUAAAUAAAUAAAAAUAUAUAUAAUGUAUUUGUGUAUUUCAUUACUUAUUAGAUUAUGAUGGGCUGGUUUUGUUGAUGAUGAUUUGCUAAAACACACGUGUGAUGAACCCGCUAUUAAAAACGGUGAUAUCAAAUUUAUUAUAGUAAUUAAAAUAAUUAAUACUGUAUUUCAACCAUUAUUAUUUUAUUGUAAGUAUCCACUUGCUGUCAGUAAAUGAACAUAACAGAAAUGGAUGUAAACAAUGGUAAUGAAUUGUUGCCUUCAUCAUUUAAAUUUUAUGACUUUGAUAUAAAAGUUGGUGA